CCACGGGGCUGCGCCAUUCACUCGUGAAGGGUCACGUUUUCCAUCUGGUCUGGGGCAUCCUGAGGAGAGGAGAUGCCCAAAGCAGCUUUUCCCCGGCGAGGGAUGGGGCCGAGGAGAAUCAGGUGAAUCCGAUGGUGACAGAGGGGUUUGAAGUUUUUUGACUGCUUCUCCCAGCUCGAUUUUCCCAGACGGUUUGAAGUCCGAGCAAACCCUGAGUGUCUCAAAGAUGAGUAAUCAGGCAUCACUUUACUUUGCAGACCGCAGCUGAGUCACUUUUCAGUUGCUGCUCAGGGCGGACAGAGAAAUCCUAUCUCCUGUGAAAGGAAAAUUGGCCGCCGGAGUCCCAAAAGUGCCCCGAGGAUCAACUGAAAUGAAAGUAAACCGAUAAUUUCCAGAUCGCGUGGAAAACAGAGGGAUAUCGAAUUUAAGCACCGCAAGCUCAGCCCGUCAGGACGAGCCUGUCCUGGAGCACUUUAUCUCGCUGCCAUUCGAGGGAGAUGCCCAGACGGCUUUUAGAAAAACUUCCAAGAUUUUCUGAAUUUGCACUUUCCUGCCUCAUCCUUGACACAUCCUUCCACCACAUUCCCCAGCCCUUUCUUGGAGUGUGAGUGCCGAUAAUGUCAUGUACCUGUGAAGGUGUCAGCUGCAUUUUGAAAUAAAACAGAAGAAAAGGAGAAGAAAAGCAGUUCCCUGAGCCACACUGCCUGCUCUGAGAGCGCACAUACAGCUGUCCACUUGGGAAAGAAAAGAACAAAAAGGAAGCAGAUCCCUGGGUUUGAUCCCUCCUGGUCGGGCUGCAGUGCUCUGGGGCUGGAGGAGCCCUGGGGAGGUGGGUAUGGAUUUAACCUGGGCACCAACUGUGAGGUUCAUGCUGCAAAAUGCCCCUCACACAGCCCUGGGCAUCCUCCGAGCUGCCCUUGCCCCCAGGGAUCCCAAUCCUCAUGUGUGGCCCAAGGUUUGAACCCAUGAGCUGAAAUAUUACACCCUGAAAAGUCAAGAGAGUGCACCAACCUGCAGGGACCAGGGGAAGAAACUCCACAAAUUAGC
rnacentral:lncRNA from 1 species